rnacentral:tRNA from 1 species
ACCUGGUUGGCUCAGUUGGAAGAGUGUGUGACUCUUGAUCUUGGGCUCGUGAGUUCGAGCCCCACAUUGGGUA